rnacentral:rRNA from 1 species
GGUUUUCGGAUCGUAAAGCUCUGUUGCCAGGGAAGAACGCUUGAGAGAGUAACUGCUCUCAAGGCGACGGUACCUGAGAAGAAAGCCCCGGCUAACUACGUGCCAGCAGCCGCGGUAAUACGUAGGGGG